ensembl:lncRNA
CGGUAUAACAAAAUGAAGGUUCUUUAAAAGAAACAUCAAAAAUAAAACAGAAGCAUUGUGCUUUUAAAUCCCACGUAAAAUAAAAUACAAUUUAAUUUUACAAUUUGGCCUGGCUGUUUCGCUAAUGUCUCAUGAUAUACAGACAACCUCUUGAAGAACAAAGACAUUACAAACAAUUGGUGUAAAACAACAAAUCCAAACCUGCAAUACACAAUAGGCAUUUCUUUGGUUUUGAUACAACCGCACUAUAUUAAGUACAUCUUUGGUUUCUCAUAGCUGCAUGAAUGAUGCCCAAUCUAAAGUUAGGCCUUCAAACCCAAAGGGAUGGGUAGGAACACAGUGAGUUUAAGGACAUGCAAUUCUUUCCCUCCACUUUUCAGGAGAAAGGAAUGAAUCUUGAUAUAAUUUAAACCAAAAUAAGGCAUAGAGCAGAUCUGUCAAUAGAAGCAUACGUUUCUUCUGCACUACAACUGCUAGCAACACAUUAUUGUCUAAAGUGUGGGCUCACUGGUUGGGGGUCACAAAACCAUCUAUAACUGCUCUUAAGAAGCCCUGACUGCACUCCUCCCUAAUCCAGUUCUUAAUAUGGGACACCAGACACCAUGACUUAAGUGGACCAGCACAGCUCAUACAAAGAUGCUCUGCCAUGACAUAUGAAUCCUGGGCAGAGCCCGGAGCUGCUGGCACUAAUGAUCAGUAAAUUACAAUAGAAAGGAGAGAAAUCACGUUCAUAAAGACUUCAAAGGACUCACAUCUCAUGCAGAACAAAGGGACCUUUGCACAACAAGGGGUUGUUUUUCGUUAGCAUUGCCCUUGGUGUUGGGAAGAGGAUCUCACUUUGACCCUCUUACCGUCUUCAUCCCUAGUUUGUUCGUCUCCCUGGGGUACAGAGGUCAUGUCUAGGACAGCAUGGGAAAGGCCUGUGGGACUGUGAGAAUGAGUAAAUACCUGCAGCACUGAAGUUUGGGUGGGUAGGUGACUGUAUGCAUGUGCUUUAAAAUAAGAUCAGUCCAUCUCCAUUUUGUUGGUUGGACAUUUGGCUUAUUCUAACUUACCUAUAUGUUUUGAGGAUAUGGCACCAUUGAGUCUGUAUGGGAGAAGUUCCUCAUUACAGCAGUGUUCCCAAAUUACAGUACGGUAUGGUAACACUGCAUAUGUCAUCACAAUUGUAAAUUAGGCUUCAACCAUACAGACAGAAAAGAGCCCUAAGCCAAUCAAAGUCUGAGGUUUCAGUGGUUCUUUGUACAAACUAGGAAUCUUUGUUAGAUAAAAGAAAUACAAUCUCCUAAACCACAUAAUGUGCAUUUGAUUGACAGCUGUUUGCCUUUGGUAUUUCAUCUGAUUUUGAAAGGUAAUUUAGAAAAUAAUGUUUAACCCAGACACAGUUUAACUGUGAAAAUCUGGGGUUAUUGAGACAGUUCCAAACUAACAAAGUUCUUUAGUUGUUUUUGUGUUUUAAUAUUGAUGUGAUUUUGUCAAUAAGAAAAUC